rnacentral:rRNA from 1 species
AGCAGUAGCCGCGGGAAUACAGAGGGUGCGAGCGUUAAUCGGAUUUACUGGGCGUAAAGCGUGCGUAGGCGGCUAAUUGAGUCGGAUGUGAAAUCCCCGAGCUUAACUUGGGAAUUGCAUUCGAUACUGGUUAGCUAGAGUGUGGGAGAGGAUGGUAGAAUUCCAGGUGUAGCGGUGAAAUGCGUAGAGAUCUGGAGGAAUACCGAUGGCGAAGGCAGCCAUCUGGCCUAACACUGACGCUGAGGUACGAAAGCAUGGGGAGCAAACAGGAUUAGAGACCCGAGUAGUCCCUGUCUCUUAUAC